rnacentral:rRNA from 1 species
AUUAGUGGCGAACGGGUGAGUAACACGUGAGUAACCUGCCCUUAACUCUGGGAUAAGCCUGGGAAACUGGGUCUAAUACCGGAUAUGACUCCUCAUCGCAUGGUGGGGGGUGGAAAGCUUUAUUGUGGUUUUGGAUGGACUCGCGGCCUAUCAGCUUGUUGGUGAGGUAAUGGCUCACCAAGGCGACGACGGGUAGCCGGCCUGAGAGGGUGACCGGCCACACUGGGACUGAGACACGGCCCAGACUCCUACGGGAGGCAGCAGUGGGGAAUAUUGCACAAUGGGCGCAAGCCUGAUGCAGCGACGCCGCGUGAGGGAUGACGGCCUUCGGGUUGUAAACCUCUUUCAGUAGGGAAGAAGCGAAAGUGACGGUACCUGCAGAAGAAGCGCCGGCUAACUACGUGCCAGCAGCCGCGGUAAUACGUAGGGCGCAAGCGUUAUCCGGAAUUAUUGGGCGUAAAGAGCUCCUAGGCGGUUUGUCCCGUCUGCCGUGAAAGUCCGGGGCUCAACUCCGGAUCUGCGGUGGGUACGGGCAGACUAAAAUGAUGUAAGGGAAACUGGAAUUCCUGGUGUAGCGGUGAAAUGCGCAGAUAUCAGGAAGAACACCGAUGGCGAAGGCAGGUCUCUGGGCAUUAACUGACGCUGAGGAGCGAAAGCAUGGGGAGCGAACAGGAUUAGAUACCCUGGUAGUCCAUGCCGUAAACGUUGGGCACUAGGUGUGGGGGACAUUCCACGUUUUCCGCGCCGUAGCUAACGCAUUAAGUGCCCGCCUGGGGAGUACGGCCGCAAGGCUAAAACUCAAAGGAAUUGACGGGGGCCCGCACAAGCGGCGGAGCAUGCGGAUUAAUUCGAUGCAACGCGAAGAACCUUACCAAGGCUUGACAUGAACCGGAAAGACCUGGAAACAGGUGCCCCGCUUGCGGUCGGUUUACAGGUGGUGCAUGGUUGUCGUCAGCUCGUGUCGUGAGAUGUUGGGUUAAGUCCCGCAACGAGCGCAACCCUCGUUCUAUGUUGCCAGCGCGUUAUGGCGGGGACUCAUAGGAGACUGCCGGGGUCAACUCGGAGGAAGGUGGGGACGACGUCAAAUCAUCAUGCCCCUUAUGUCUUGGGCUUCACGCAUGCUACAAUGGCCGGUACAAAGGGUUGCGAUACUGUGAGGUGGAGCUAAUCCCAAAAAGCCGGUCUCAGUUCGGAUUGGGGUCUGCAACUCGACCCCAUGAAGUCGGAGUCGCUAGUAAUCGCAGAUCAGCAACGCUGCGGUGAAUACGUUCCCGGGCCUUGUACACACCGCCCGUCAAGUCACGAAAGUUGGUAACACCCGAAGCCGGUGGCC